rnacentral:rRNA from 1 species
GCGUGAGUGAUGAAGGCCUUAGGGUUGUAAAGCUCUUUUACCCGGGAUGAUAAUGACAGUACCGGGAGAAUAAGCUCCGGCUAACUCCGUGCCAGCAGCCGCGGUAAUACGGAGGGAGCUAGCGUUAUUCGGAAUUACUGGGCGUAAAGCGCACGUAGGCGGCUUUGUAAGUUAGAGGUGAAAGCCCGGGGCUCAACCCCGGAAUUGCCUUUGAUACUGCAUGGCUUGAAUCCAGGAGAGGUCAGUGGAAUUCCGAGUGUAGAGGUGAAAUUCGU